rnacentral:lncRNA from 1 species
CCGCACCGGGAGGAAGAAGAGGCCGGGCCGGGGAGCGGCGGCCGCAGCUGCAGGACACAAUUAAUUAUGCUAAUGGCGCGGGGAGCGGAUGUACUUUUUUCCCCCUUUAUUCCUCUCCCUUUUUUUGGCUGGUCGGUGCGGAGGGAGCCGCCCUGGGCUGGGAUCACAUGAUAUUGUCUUCGCGCCACUUUCGUAAAACCCUUUUUAUUCCAGGGCUCCGCUCGCUCCGAGGUACCGCCACACUGUGUUGAGAAGAGCUUUGCUGUGGGAGCAUCCCUCUGCUGAUGGGCCUUGAGUUGUGCAAAAGUGCUUACAGUGCAGGGCUGAGGUGCUGUUUGCUGUCAGGACCGUACGUGCUGUGCUCGCGUCCCACCCAAAGCCUGGGGUUACUGUGCUAGGGAAGUGCAGCUGUCGGUGCCACACAGAUGCCCACCGAGCUGCUGCAGGUCCCGACGAGGCUGGUUUAACCACCCCGAAGCACCAGCACCAAGCACCCUGGGCUCACUCUUUUUUGCUUUCUCCAGUUCCCUGGAGUCAUACUUCAACAACCCUUCUUCAUUAAAGUGGAAUUUUGACCUAAUUGCUUUAAUCCCCGAGUUUAUGGAGAAGCUUUGAGGUGCCCUAUGCCAGAGCUGCGUAACAGAGGAGUGGCGGUUAUUUCCCAUUGAACCAUGCCCACAAGGAGAGAUUUCAGCAUUUGAGAACUUCUCCUGGAGACAGCCAUGGCCCAGGCGUGGGUUUGAGUCUUCUGAGAAGGGCAGGGGGGGGUUGGGAGAUGCUCACCAGAAGCUUUGGCAGAGCCUUGCUGCCACGCGGCCAGGGACUGGCUCUGCGUGAGCCUGGCAGAGCGGCGCCUCUAAUAUACCUCUUCACAGACUUUUUGCAUGUAAUAUUGAGCAUUAAAAUAAUUUAAUCAGGC